rnacentral:rRNA from 1 species
CACGUAGGGCGCAAGCGUUGUCCGGAAUUAUUGGGCGUAAAGAGCUCGUAGGCGGUCUGUUGCGUCUGCUGUGAAAACCCGGGGCUUAACCCCUGGCUUGCAGUGGAUACGGACAGUCUAGAGGUAGGUAGGGGAGAAUGGAAUUCCCGGUGUAGCGGUGAAAUGCGCAGAUAUCGGGAGGAACACCGGUGGCGAAGGCGGUUCUCUGGACCUUACCUGACGCUGAGGAGCGAAAGCGUGGGGAGCGAACAGG